rnacentral:snRNA from 14 species
AUACUUACCUUGCCUGAUAUACUGGAGCUCAAGAUUUCCGGUAUAUAAGGGGAGAGGCCUGCAUUGCACAUCGCGGAGUCGAUCCUCUUCGAUUGUCCUUCGGGGCCAUCGUGGGUGUAAUUUUUGAUUUUUUCUAAACCAGAAA